AUCCGGCUGACGAAUCCCAAAUAGGACGAAACGCGCGUCCUGGAU
rnacentral:hammerhead_ribozyme from 1 species